UCCCUGGUGGCUCAGCGGUAAAGCAUCUGCCUGCUAAGCAGGACACACGGGUUCAACCCCUGGGUCUGGAA
rnacentral:tRNA from 1 species